GCUUAGAGAGGGGUCAAUGUCCUAUCAGCUAGUUGGUAGGGUAAUGGCCUACCAAGGCUAAGACGGGUAGCCGGCCUGAGAGGGUGGUCGGCCACACUGGGACUGAGACACUGCCCAGACUCCUACGGGAGGCUGCAGUCGAGAAUCUUUCGCAAUGCCCGAAAGGGUGACGAAGCGACGUCGCGUGUGAGAAGAAGGCCUUCGGGUUGUAAACCACUGUCGGGAGUUAAGAAAUGUAAGGGUGUUAAUAGCAUCCUUACUUGACUAAGGCUCCGGAGGAAGCCACGGCUAACUCUGUGCCAGCAGCCGCGGUAAUACAGAGGCGGCAAGCGUUGUUCGGAAUUAUUGGGCGUAAAGAGCACGUAGGCGGCCUUGUAAGUCAGUUGUGAAAGCCUUCUGCUUAACGGAAGAACAGCAUCUGAUACUGCAAGGCUAGAGUACGGAAGGG
rnacentral:rRNA from 1 species